rnacentral:hammerhead_ribozyme from 1 species
GCACUACUGACGAGUCCGAAACACGACGAAACGGCUGUCCAGUGC